UACGUAGGGAGCAAGCGUUGUCCGGAAUCAUUGGGCGUAAAGCGCGCGUAGGUGGUCCCGUAAGUCCGCUGUGAAAGUCAAAGGCUCAACCUUUGAAAGCCGGUGGAUACUGUGGGACUAGAGUACGGAAGAGGCGAGUGGAAUUCCUGGUGUAGCGGUGGAAUGCGCAGAUAUCAGGAGGAACACCAAUAGCGAAGGCAGCUCGCUGGGACGUUACUGACACUGAGGCGCGAAAGCGUGGGGAGCGAAC
rnacentral:rRNA from 1 species